rnacentral:rRNA from 1 species
CAAUAGCGUAUAUUAAUGUUGUUGCAGUUAAAAAGCUCGUAGUUGGAUUUCGAAUGGGAGCGAUGGGUCGGGUCCGCAAGGGCUCGUUACCUGUUUCGUCUCCGGUUCUUUUUCGGGAUUGUUUCCGGCGUGGCUGGCAUUGAGUUGUCGGUGGCGUCGGGCCCGUCGUUUACUGUGAACAAAUUAGAGUGUUCAAAGCAAGGUGUGUCUUGAAUACAUUAGCAUGGAAUAAUGAGAUAGGACUUUGGUGGUUUCGGUGAAAGCCGGAUAUUUUGUUGGUUUGCACGCCAAAGUAAUGAUUAAUAGGAGCAGUUGGGGGUAUUCGUAUUCAAUUGUCAGAGGUGAAAUUCUUGGAUUUCUAGAAGACGAACUACUGCGAAAGCAUUUACCAGGGAUGUUUNCAUUA